UUUAUCGAGAGUUUGAUCCUGGCUCAGGAUGAACGCUGGCGGCGUGCUUAACACAUGCAAGUCGAACGAAGCACUUGAG
rnacentral:rRNA from 1 species